CUGUUCGCUUCGGCAGCACAUAUACUAAAAAUUGGAACGAAACAGAGAUUAGCAUGUCCCCUGCGCAAGGAUGACGCAAAUUCGUGAAGUGAUCCAUAUUAAA
rnacentral:snRNA from 1 species